AGUGAACGCCGGCGGUAGGCCUAACACAUGCAAGUCGAACGGCAGCACAGUAAGAGCUUGCUCUUACGGGUGGCGAGUGGCGGACGGGUGAGGAAUACAUCGGAAUCUACUUUUUCGUGGGGGAUAACGUAGGGAAACGUACGCUAAUACCGCAUACGACCUACGGGUGAAAGCAGGGGAUCUUCGGACCUUGCGCGAUUGAAUGAGCCGAUGUCGGAUUAGCUAGUUGGCGGGGUAAAGGCCCACCAAGGCGACGAUCCGUAGCUGGUAUGAGAGAAUGAACAGCCACACUGGCACUGAGACUCGGUCCAGACUCCUACGGGAGGCAGCAGUGGGGAAUAUUGGACAAUGGGGGCAAGCCUGAUCCAGCCAUACCGCGUGAGUGAAGAAGGCCUUCGGGUUGUAGAGCCAUGUUGUUGGGAAAGAAAAGCAGCAGGUUAAUACCCCGCUGUUCUGACGGUACCCAAAGAAUAAGCACCGGCUAACUUCGUG
rnacentral:rRNA from 1 species